AAGAGUUCUAUAACUCCCAAACCCAUGUGAACAUACCAAGCGUUGCCUCGGCAGGUCGUAUCUACCCUGGAGGCUCUUACCCUGUAGGAGCCUACCCGGGAGGUGCGGUUCAGCCUGCCGGCGGCCCCUGAAAACCCUGUUAUUAAAAUAGAAAUUCUGAAUUUAUAACUAAAUAAGUUA
rnacentral:misc_RNA from 1 species